UUAAUAGAUAAAUGAUGAAAUAAAGAACCGAUUGUUUGUUUUAAGUUGUCAUUUAACCCUUUGCCUCCGGCAUCUUCCCUCAUGGCUUUGGAGAAAGAAGCUGCCAUUGCUGCUGCUCCCUCUGAUUCUCCUACCAUGUCAGCCCAGCCCUAUAUUUCUCCUUCUCCUUUUAUGCAUCAAUUUCUUCUUUUAGAAAAAAAGAAUUCUUUUUUUUUAAGAAUAAUUCUCGACAGUAAAUGUUCCUUCCCUUCACUUCGAUGUGAAUUAGCGGGAUCAUUCAUUCUCAUUUACCUUUUUAUUUUUUUCAAAUUUGACAAAAUCAUCAACAAGGCAAUACCAGCUACCGUGGUGUAUGAAGAUGAUAAGGUCUUAGCUUUUAGGGACAUAGCUCACCAGGCUCCUAUGCAUAUUUUAAUUAUUCCAAAAUCAAAGGAUGGCCUAACUGGUUUGUCUAUGGUACAACUUUUUUUGUCUUCGCUUCUAACUGAGCAGUAAAUAUUUAUGCCCUCUAUCAUAGAGGAAACUACAAUUAUGGCUGGGUAUUAAUUUGGAAAAAAAAGUAUGGAGUAUUGUUAAAAGAAUGCUGCUCAAGUUUUAUCAAUUUGAUUUGCCUUUUGCGUCUUGCUCACUCUUGAAGCUGUAUGAGGAAAAGAAAGAGAAGGAAAAUAGGAGUGAAAUUAAAUGGAAAUUGUAUCAAGAAAUUCUGGUGAAAUUAAAUAGAAGCUGGGUAUAAAUUUUGCUUCAUGCAUCUGUCUGUGUAUCAUGUCCGGGAGUAUGAUGUUCACAAGCUCAUGCACCUAGAGGAACCGAUUGAUAUUUUCCUUCACACUGAUUAUGGGAACUGGCAAAUACUUGUUCACUACAAAAAAAAUUUCAAAGAUGAGAUCCAGCAAGGAACUCUUGGAAGCAAGCCUGCUACUCGAAAAACUCAAACAAUCGUAUUGGUUUUCAGCUCACUUGCUGUGACGGCCCAAAUUUCAGUGAUAUCGGAACAGUGAUUUGAAAUCACUAAAUCUGACAUGUGAGCUUAGAUAUGAAUCAAGAAAACAAAUUGAACCGUGGAAAGGAGAAAAUUCAAGAAUAGUCCCUGAAUUUCUACAACUUUUGCAAAUUAACCCAGAUUGAACUAAAGUGAAGUUGGUAGAUCGGAUCAACACAACAAGGCACACUAUCCAGAUCAAUUCCGGUAGUUUUUGUUUUAUGUUUAAAGAUUUAUAUGGCAUGUAUAGAGUUUAAAUGGAUUGCAAUAAAGAUAUUAUAAACUAGUUAACAAUAUUUUGUACUAAAACAGUUUUUGGAUAGUAGCAGUAGUUUGACUUCGAAAAUUCACCAUAAAUUAUGAAAAUUUAAUUAGAGGUUGAAUAAAAUAUGAAAUUAAAGAUUA